GGUUACCACAGAGAGCUUGCUCUCGGGUGACGAGCGGCGGACGGGUGAGUAAUGUCUGGGAAACUGCCUGAUGGAGGGGGAUAACUACUGGAAACGGUAGCUAAUACCGCAUAACGUCGCAAGACCAAAGUGGGGGACCUUCGGGCCUCAUGCCAUCAGAUGUGCCCAGAUGGGAUUAGCUAGUAGGUGGGGUAACGGCUCACCUAGGCGACGAUCCCUAGCUGGUCUGAGAGGAUGACCAGCCACACUGGAACUGAGACACGGUCCAGACUCCUACGGGAGGCAGCAGUGGGGAAUAUUGCACAAUGGGCGCAAGCCUGAUGCAGCCAUGCCGCGUGUGUGAAGAAGGCCUUCGGGUUGUAAAGCAC
rnacentral:rRNA from 1 species